UUCCUCCCGAAGCUCAGGGUGUAGUCCCUGAGAAUAAGAUGAGGGGGAUUAGAGGAGAUCCUUCCCCACUCCGCUAAUAUCCGGUAUUGUGGCAUCCUCACCUGGGACUGGUGUGCCGAGCAGCGGCUAAUGUAGUCCUGGCGCGGCUCCCCACGGUGGCUGCACCCCGCAAGGGAGACUUCGCUUCCUUGCCCCUUUAGACCGGAAAUCACAACUUUGUUUCCUCAGGACCCGUUUUCCAAGUAGUCAUUAUCCUGCCACAAUGAUUUAUUUCUAGAAAAAAUUGGGGCGAGUGCUACAGUUCUCACCCCUUCAACUGAGGGACUGCGACAUCUCCGUGUUCAAGUUGAAUGUAGGCGUUAUAUGCAAGAGUCAAUCAUUCAGCGAAUACAGUUCUUGCAGUAAUAACUAACAUUUACUGUGUGCUGACUACAUGUCAGGCCUGUGCUCAGCGAUUCGAGCACAUCUUCAUUUAAUCUAAUAGCAACUCUCUGCAGUAGGUACCAUUAUAUCCUCUGGUUUUCAAAUGAGGAAGCUGAACAACUUGCCAAGGUCCCUAAGUAACUGUUGGAACUUUGAAGGGAAUACAUCUGACUCUAAAACUGGAGCCUCUCACUUCAGCUUGGCACAGAUUCCCAUCUUUACCACAGUGACCCAUCCACCUCAACCUAGGAAAUGACUGUUCUGAUUCAAAGCUUUCACUGAACACAUGCUGUAUGAGAGUCCUCUACAGAUGAGUCACUUGGUGCUGGGCCUUGUCAGUGAAGGAGAAAGCUGAAAGCCAGAAGCCAGGACAUCUGGUGACCACUCCUGAUGCUAACAUCUGUUUGCAAAAGAGACUGUACACUGUACCAGGGCAGUGACACAGUCUGACUUGUCUACUUCUGUGUCCCUAGUUGUGCCUUGUACAAAGUAGCAUAGUGCCUGGUACCUAGCAAGAGCUUGACAAAUUUCUUUAAG
rnacentral:lncRNA from 1 species